GCCAGGUGUGGUGGUGGGCGCCUGUAAUCCCAGCUACUCAGGAGGCUGAGGCAGGAGAAUUGCUUGAACCCAGGAGGUGGAGGUUGCAGUGAGCCGAGAUCGCGCCAUUGCACUCUAGCCUGGGUGAUAGAGCAAGACUCUGUCUCAA
ensembl:misc_RNA Metazoa_SRP Metazoan signal recognition particle RNA